GCGAUGUUGGCUCAGUUGGUAGAGCGUUGGUCUCAUAACACGAUCUGGUUAAACAUCAGGAACAUCCAAAGGUCGUGAGUUCGAGCCUCACGUCGCA